UAAUCAUUAUGUAGGAGAGAUGGCCGAGUGGUUGAAGGCGUAGCAUUGGAACUGCUAUGUAGACUUCUGUUUACCGAGGGUUCGAAUCCCUCUCUUUCCGU
rnacentral:tRNA from 1 species